CCAUAGGCUGUCCUGGUCCUUAGGUCUUUGGACUGAGGCUGGAACCACAUCCUCAGCUCUCCUGGAUCUCCAGCUUGGCAACUGCAGGCCUUGGGACAUUUCAGAUUCCAUAAUCAAAUGAGGAGCAGCUCUGCCUUGCUCUAGCCUCUGACUGCGGCCCCCCUCCCCAUAUUAGAUGGAGCAGAGUUACCCUACAAGAUCUAAGCUCCUGGAAGCUGCUGCCUGCUUCAGCCAGCAGUUGCCGACAUGCCCAUGUUCCACAGAGCCAGUAUAGGCCAGAGGGUGCCUUCCAGGCAGUUGGAGCCUCUAGCUGAUGCCAAGAGUGGCUUAGAG